AGAGUGAACGCUGGCGGUAGGCCUAACACAUGCAAGUCGAACGGCAGCACAGUAGGAGCUUGCUCUUACGGGUGGCGAGUGGCGGACGGGUGAGGAAUACAUCGGAAUCUACCUUUUGGUGGGGGAUAACGUAGGGAAACUUACGCUAAUACCGCAUACGCCCUUCGGGGGAAAGCCGGGGACCAGCAAUGGCCUGGCGCUGAUAGAUGAGCCGAUGUCGGAUUAGCUAGUUGGUGAGGUAAUGGCUCACCAAGGCGACGAUCCGUAGCUGGUCUGAGAGGAUGAUCAGCCACACUGGAACUGAGACACGGUCCAGACUCCGUACGGGAGGCAGCAGUGGGGAAUAUGGACAAUGGGCGCAAGCCUGAUCCAGCCAUACCGCGUGGUAGAAGAAGGUCUUACGGGUUGUAAACGCCCUUUUAGUAGGAAAGAAAGCUAAGUUCGGUUAAUACCCGGUGUUCGUGACGUACC
rnacentral:rRNA from 1 species